rnacentral:rRNA from 1 species
UACGUAGGGUGCAAGCGUUGUCCGGAAUUACUGGGCGUAAAGGGCGCGUAGGCGGUUCUGUAAGUCCCGCGUGAAAUCCCCCGGCUCAACUGGGGAACUGCGCGGGAAACUGUGGGGCUAGAGUUCAGGAGAGGGAAGCGGAAUUCCGGGUGUAGCGGUGAAAUGCGUAGAUAUCCGGAGGAACACCGGUGGCGAAGGCGGCUUCCUGGACUGACACUGACGCUGAGGCGCGAAAGCUAGGGGAGCAAACGGG